UACGGAGGUGCGAGCGUUGUCCGGAAUCAUUGGGCGUAAAGGGCGCGUAGGUGGCCCGGUCAGUUCGUGGUGAAAGCGCGGGGCUCAACCCUGCGUCGGCCAUGAAUACUGCCGCGGCUGGAGCACUGUAGAGGCAGGCGGAAUUCCGGGUGUAGCGGUGGAAUGCGUAGAGAUCCGGAAGAACACCGGUGGCGAAGGCGGCCGCUGGGCAGUUGCUGACACUGAGGCGCGACAGCGUGGGGAGCAACAGGG
rnacentral:rRNA from 1 species